rnacentral:rRNA from 1 species
UCGAUUCAGUUACCUUCGGGUAAUGAGGAUGGCGGACGGGUGAGUAACGCGUAAGGAACUUGCCUCUUGGACUGGGACAACUGUUGGAAACGACAGCUAAUACCGGAUAUUAUGAGAUUCUCGCAUGAGAAACUUAUGAAAGCUAUAUGCGCCAAGAGAGAGCCUUGCGUUCCAUUAGCUAGUUGGUGGGGUAACGGCCCACCAAGGCGACGAUGGAUAGCCGGCCUGAGAGGGUGAACGGCCACAAGGGGACUGAGACACGGCCCUUACUCCUACGGGAGGCAGCAGUGGGGAAUAUUGGACAAUGGGCCACAAGCCUGAUCCAGCAAUUCUGUGUGCACGAUGAAGGUCUUCGGAUUGUAAAGUGCUUUCAGUUGGGAAGAAGAAAGUGACGGUACCAACAGAAGAAGCGACGGCUAAAUACGUGCCAGCAGCCGCGGUAAUACGUAUGUCGCAAGCGUUAUCCGGAUUUAUUGGGCGUAAAGCGCGUCUAGGCGGAAAAAUAAGUCUGAUGUUAAAAUGCGGGGCUCAACUCCGUAUUGCGUUGGAAACUGUUUUUCUAGAGUACUGGAGAGGUGGGCGGAACUACAAGUGUAGAGGUGAAAUUCGUAGAUAUUUGUAGGAAUGCCGAUGGAGAAGUCAGCUCACUGGACAGAUACUGACGCUGAAGCGCGAAAGCGUGGGGAGCAAACAGGAUUAGAUACCCUG